UUGUAACUGCGGUUGUUGUGUGGGUGACGCUGGCGAACAACUUGAAGUGUGAUAAUUGUGCCGAUGACGAUGGUGAAGAUUGUUAAUGUAAUGACGACAGGAAUGGUUCUACGGUGUGUCGGAGCGGGAGGUUCAUGGUGAGCGGCGGACGUUUCGCCAUCCGGGUGUACUUUGUUGUAGCCUCUGAUGUAGUUGAUGGAUUCUUCCAUGUGUGAGGGUUUAUGAAGGCGUGUAGUAUAUGAAGGUUGAAGAUGAGUUUAUUAAUUAA
rnacentral:lncRNA from 1 species